GCAAACUUGGUCAUUUAGAGGAAGUAAAAGUCGUAACAAGGUUUCCGUAGGUGAACCUGCGGAAGGAUCAUUACCAGUCGCUGCGCCGCGCGGGUCUCUCCGGGGACCCCGUGGGCGUCUAGCACCACCCGUGAACACUGAACCUCAUGUUGCCUUGGCGGGCCCGCCGGCUCCCGGCCGCCGGGGGAUGGACCGCGCGCUCGCGUGCGGCUCGCCCCGGGCCCGCGCCCGCCAACGGAGAGAUUGAACUUCUGGAGAUGUAGGCUGUCUGAGUGGCUAUUGAAUCGUUAAAACUUUCAACAACGGAUCUCUUGGUUCCGGCAUCGAUGAAGAACGCAGC
rnacentral:misc_RNA from 1 species